AGCUGGGACCAUUACUCUGAUGAUGAGGUAGUUUAGAAUGUAGACUGGGUCCAUUACUCUGAUGAGGUAGUUUAGAAUGUAGACUGAUGAGCUGGGACCAUUACUCUAUGAUGAGGUAGUUUAGGAUAUAGACUGAUGAGCUGGGACCAU